GGUCUUAGCUUGCUAAGGCUGAUGGCGACCGGCGCACGGGUGAGUAACACGUAUCCAACCUGCCGUCUACUCUUGGCCAGCCUUCUGAAAGGAAGAUUAAUCCAGGAUGGCAUCAUGAGUUCACAUGUCCGCAUGAUUAAAGGUAUUUUCCGGUAGACGAUGGGGAUGCGUUCCAUUAGAUAGUAGGCGGGGUAACGGCCCACCUAGUCAACGAUGGAUAGGGGUUCUGAGAGGAAGGUCCCCCACAUUGGAACUGAGACACGGUCCAAACUCCUACGGGAGGCAGCAGUGAGGAAUAUUGGUCAAUGGGCGAUGGCCUGAACCAGCCAAGUAGCGUGAAGGAUGACUGCCCUAUGGGUUGUAAACUUCUUUUAUAAAGGAAUAAAGUCGGGUAUGCAUACCCGUUUGCAU
rnacentral:rRNA from 1 species